rnacentral:rRNA from 1 species
AGUGAACGCUGGCGGCAGGCCUAACACAUGCAAGUCGAACGGCAGCACAGUAAGAGCUUGCUCUUACGGGUGGCGAGUGGCGGACGGGUGAGGAAUACAUCGGAACCUACUUUUUCGUGGGGGUUAACGUAGGGAACCUUACGCUAAUACCGCAUACACCCUACGGGUGAACGCAGGCGAACUUCGCACCUUGCGCGAUUGAAUGAGCCGAUGUCGGAUUCGCUAGUUGGCGGGGUAAAGGCCCACCAAGGCGACGAGCCGUAGCUGGUCUGAGAGGAUGAUCAGCCACACUGGAACUGAGACACGGUCCAGACUCCUACGGGAGGCAGCAGUGGGGAAUAUUGGACAAUGGGCGCAAGCCUGAUCCAGCCAUACCGCGUGGGUGAAGAAGGCCUUCGGGUUGUAAAGCCCUUUUGUUGGGAAAGAAAAGCAGCAGGUUAAUACCCCGCUGUUCUGACGGUACCCAAAGAAUAAGCACCGGCUAACUUCGUG